GGCUCAGGAUGAACGCUAGCGACAGGCCUAACACAUGCAAGCGAGGGGCAGCACAAGGAGCAAUCUGAGGUGGCGACCGGCGCACGGGUGAGUAACACGUAUGCAACCUGCCUGUAAGCGGGGAAUAACCCGUUGAAAGACGGACUAAUACCGCAUAAUACUAAAUUACUGCAUGGUAAUUUAUUUAAACAUUUAUGGCUUACAGAUGGGCAUGCGCAUGAUUAGCUAGUUGGAGAGGUAACGGCUCCCCAAGGCAACGAUCAUUAGGGGUUCUGAGAGGAAGGUCCCCCACACUGGUACUGAGACACGGACCAGACUCCUACGGGAGGCAGCAGUGAGGAAUAUUGGUCAAUGGACGAGAGUCUGAACCAGCCAAGUCGCGUGCAGGAAGAAUUGUCCUAUGGAUUGUAAACUGCUUUUGCAGGGGAAUAAAGUGCAUCACGUGUGAUGUUUUGUAUGUACUCUGCGAAUAAGGAUCGGCUAACUCCGUGCCAGCCGCGGC
rnacentral:rRNA from 1 species